rnacentral:misc_RNA from 1 species
GAUGAAGAACGCAGUGAAAUGCGAUAAGUAAUGUGAAUUGCAGAAUUCAGUGAAUCAUCGAAUCUUUGAACGCACAUUGCGCCCGCCAGUAUUCUGGCGGGCAUGCCUGUCUGAGCGUCAUUUCAACCCUCACGCCCCUAGGGCGUGGUGUUGGGGAUCGGCCAAAGCCCGCGAGGGACGGCCGGCCCCUAAAUCUAGUGGCGGACCCGUCGUGGCCUCCUCUGCGAAGUAGUGAUAUUCCGCAUCGGAGAGCGAUGAGCCCCUGCCGUUAAACCCCCAACUUUCCAAGGUUGACCUCAGAUCAGGUAGGAAUACCCGCUGAACUUAAGCAUAUCAAUAAGCGGCGGA